rnacentral:rRNA from 1 species
UACGGAGGAUGCGAGCGUUAUCCGGAUUUAUUGGGUUUAAAGGGUGCGUAGGCGGACUGUCAAGUCAGCGGUAAAAUUGAGAGGCUCAACCUCUUCCCGCCGUUGAAACUGGUGGUCUUGAGUGGAUGAGAAGUACGCGGAAUGCGUGGUGUAGCGGUGAAAUGCAUAGAUAUCACGCAGAACUCCGAUUGCGAAGGCGGCAUACCGGCGCCCUACUGACGCUGAGGCACGAAAGCGUGGGUAUCGAACAGG